UCUCCGUUGGUGAACCAGCGGAGGGAUCAUUACAGAGUUGCAAAACUCCCAAACCAUUGUGAACGUUACCUAUCCCGUUGCUUCGGCGGGCGGCCCGGGCCCCGCGCCCGGCGCCCCCCGGCCCCCCGUGGGCGCCCGCCGGAGGUAAACCAAACCCUCGAAUUGCAUGGCCUCUCUGAGUCUUCUGUACUGAAUAAGUCGAAACUUUCAACAACGGAUCUCUUGGUUCUG
rnacentral:misc_RNA from 1 species